rnacentral:rRNA from 1 species
AACCUGCGGAGGGAUCAUUACAGAGUUAUCAAAACUCCCAAACCCAUGUGAACAUACCUCGCGUUGCCUCGGCAGGUGGCGUCUCGCCCCGUAAGAACCUACCCUGUAGGACCUUACCCGGUAGACGACCCUGCCGACGGCCCCCGAAACUCUGUUUUAUAGCAUUAAACUUCUGAAAAUAUAACUAAAUAAGUUAAAACUUUCAACAACGGAUCUCUUGGUUCUGGCAUCGAUGAAGAACGCAGCGAAAUGCGAUAAGUAAUGUGAAUUGCAGAAUUCAGUGAAUCAUCGAAUCUUUGAACGCACAUUGCGCCCACUAGUAUUCUGGUGGGCAUGCCUGUUCGAGCGUCAUUUCAACCCUUAAGCCCCUGUUGCUUAGCGUUAGGAGCCUACCGGAACUCUCUGGUAGCUCCCCAAAGUCAGUGGCGGAGCCGGUUCGUACUCCAGACGUAGUAGCUUUUACACGUCGCCUGUAGCGCGGGCCGGUCCCCUGCCGUAAAACACCCCAAUUUUUAUAGGUUGACCUCGGAUCAGGUAGGAAUACCCGCUGAACUUAAGCAUAUCAAUAGCGGGGAGGGAA